ensembl:lncRNA
GCUAUAUCAAUUACAAAAGUGAUUUACCAAACCCAGUAAAUUUUGUCAUCUGUCAUUUUUAUGUGUUCAUACUCACUCUUUCUCUAUCAUUCAAUUUUACGCUUUCUAUAUGCUAAACACUCUCAUGAACCCACAAUAGAUUUCACAGGAUUUGACAGCCAGCAAGUUUUGCUAAUUUUCUUUUUUUUUUUUUUUUUCUCUUUAGGGAAAUAAUUCAGCUCUGUUUUUUUCUGCCUCCAUUUAUAGACACUUGCAGCCAGUCACCUUGGAUACUCGUUUUUUUUUCAUUCUUUAUCAUCAGAUGUGUGGCAAAGCCUAAUGUCAGAAGCAGAGAGGAGGGUUCUCAUUUGCUACUUACACAGACAAAAUAAGGUGAAUUUUGUCCUGAAUGCACCGACUGUAUUGAUAACAUCUGAGAUUCAAGUACCUCAACAUAUAUACACAAUGCCAUCUGAAAUACUCCAAACCAUCAACAGGAAACUGACAGCUAUGAUGCAGGAUAUGGAAGAGGCCUUAUUCUUCUGCACAAAUAGCUGGAUCCAGCAGAAAAACCUGAAUGCAUCAGAAAUGGCACAAAAAAAAAUGUGUUUAUGCAAUUUAAAAUUAAGCAUGCAUAAGAUUACUACUACUACAGGAACUUGGGCUGUAGAUAUUUCUUUAGCUAUUUAGUCUGCCCCUAUAGGGCCUGAAGUUCUGGGACUAUACAAUACAAUGAUAGGAUUUGGAGAACAUAUCAGACCAGUCAAAGAAGACAACAAGAGCUGAGUUCUGUUGCCUAAAAGUAGUGAUCUAGGGCAAAUUCAGAGACUUUAGGUACUGAGUCAUUCCCUCUCACCUGACAAAUAUGUCCAUAAGCUUUUUGGAGACCCAUGCCAUUUUGGAAUAUCAACUGGAAGACGGGCAGUAUAACCUGAGGCAUCUCAAGUCACACUAAAAACAUAAGUUUAAAGUAUUCUAGAGUCAUAGAAUCAUAAAGGUUUGAAAAGAUCUUUAAGAUCUUCUAGUCCAAACAUCAAGCCAUCACCACCACAUCCACUAAACCAUGUCCCUCCAUGCCACAUCUUCACAUUUCUUGAGCACCUCCAAGGAUAAUGACUCCACUAGUUCCCUGGGUAGCCUGUUCUACUGUAUUACUACUCUUUCUGAGAAUAUUUUUUUUCUAAUAUUCAACCUAUCUCCCUACUGAUUUUUCAGAAUAUUGUCGAGGCACAGUGAACUGCACUGAUUAGUUCUCCACUGACUGCAAUGUGAGUUUACACUCCUACACAUAUAUGCAAAGCUGUACACCCGUAAGCUUUGGUUAUGUGAUACAGAGCUGGAUCUAACCCCUGAAAAUUUGUUGAAAUGAACCAUAGCAUAGAUGACUGUAUCAGGAUGGUUGCCUACAUUUUACAUAACUAAAGAAUGGUGAGAUGCUUUAAAGUUUCAGUAUUAGGAUUUUAGACUCAUUCAACUCUGUAGCACAGUUCUUUAAUUCAUCUGGUUAUUUAUGUCUUCAUCCAAGGUUCCCCCUUGAGCAGAUGGAAAUGUGAUUUUAAAGUAGUAAUAUGACAUCUUAAAUGGUGCUUGGAUCCCGAGUCACCCUCCAUUGGAUCGUUAUUGCUCCAUGAAGGUAGUUAGGUCCCAAUUUUAAAAGAAAGUCCAAAACAUUUUUUAGCAUUUACAGCACUGGAAGCCAAGACAGACACAGUUUUUGGAUCUUCUCAGUUUGCCAAGCCACAUAUGGAGUGAGUAUACAUUUUCAUUUGCAAAUCAAGCACAGAGAGCUUCGCACAUGCAUGCUUCCCUACAUAUAUGCCUAGCUUACAUAGAAAGCAUGGCUAAGCAGAAGCAAUCCAUUUUCCUUAAGCUAUGUACUCCCUGAUGCAGAACUUCCAUUUGAAAGACAAGCUAAUUGCCACCAUCCCACAAGCCUUAUCUACAUUCACAUGUUCAUGGCCGAAAGAGUAUCUACUUUCCUAUGCUCUACCAGAGGAAGAAUUCUAGUAGGUGCCUUGGAACUGAUUUAUACGUUACCAAACUCCCUUACUUCCUCUAUCCUUUCUUCAGAGAAAAUAUUUCAAAAUGUUGGACACAGGAAGUCCAUAGGCCACUCAGAAUUCCCAUAUACAGCACUGUUAUUACCAAUUUAGGCUCUUAGAUUUUGCAGUAAUAAAGUUUUGAUUGCCUUGAGUGGUUGAUAUUGA